rnacentral:sRNA from 1 species
GAGAACCUGGGGACGCUAGGUUCCGGAACCUGACCUGAGCUGGGGCCUGUGCUUCCAGCGGGUGGUGGGGGGCCUGGUGUGCUGGCAUCAAGUAAGCCGACUACCUCGGCAAAGGCUUAGGGACAAGAGACCAGCAGCCUGAACUGGCUGGGGCAUCCGGAAGGCUUAGAUCUUGUGGCCAAGAGUUCAGACCGUGGCGAAGUGGAGAGUGACAUGCAGUUGGAUGGCGGUGACUGCGUGGUCCUGCAACCCUGGUUCCAGUCUGGCAAGCAUUGUAGACCUGGCUGCUGAAGACUGACGGGGCCCAGGGUCCGCUGCCCCCACCGCCAUCACCACCUCGGAACCCAGGGUAACGCUGUCAGUCUUUGAUGAUGUCAGAAGUGGGAUCCAAAGUAGAGCUUAUAAUGACACCCAGGAGUGCUGAGUGACCAAGCAAGGUACCCACCAGGCCGAUUAUGUCCAUUGUUCUCUUGGAGCAGCUGGUCAUCAUGGGAAAGGGUGCCACACUGGGAAUGCAAGCUGUCCUUGCUUCUGAACCAAGACUACUAUUGUGC